GAGUUUGCAAUGAAUUGCCUGGCAAGAACCUGCAUGGAGCAGCUUCUGGUGCAGAUCUUGGUGGUAGUAGCGGAUAUUCCAGUGAGACCUUUGAAGACUGAGGUGGAGAAGGGUUUCAUGUGAACAGCACUUGGACAUGGGUUAGCCGAACCUGAUGGAGCCAGAUUCUGCCAAUGAGGCCUUGCCUGCUCCUUGACAGAGAAUGGGGUUAACAUUCCUCAGCCAGGACGUGGAUAAUGCAUGGUGACAUAAGCCAACUUGGCAAUACAGGGGGAAGCCUUUGGAAGCGUUAUCUCUUCUUUUUGAUGGUGUAGUGCCCUGGAAUCAGAUUGUUUGGUGGUAGGGAUUGUUGAUGAGCAGAGCACCUUGUUUGCUGAGGUAUCUCAGUGUGCUUCCAGUGGUCCAUGAAAAGCCUGAGGAAGGACUUAUUCACCCCCCUGGUCGUGCCCACAACCGCAUCAGGUCUCCCAGGUUAGCUGCCUCUGGUCUGUGGAAUGAACUGGGUGAGGGAAGUCGGCAAAUUGGAUCUGGAACUUUGGGAAAAGGAUUGGCUCUGAGGGGUGGGUGUGGGGAUCCUUGUGUUGAUGCUUGAACCAAGCAAGAGCUGCUUGAUGCCACUGGUAGACAGCGGAUUUGUGCACGGUGAGAACUGCUGGACAAGGAGUGUUCUGUUGAGCUCAUUUUCACACGAUGAACAACUGGCUUAGAACUGAUUCGGGCAAGGGGAAUCCGACUGUUUAAUUGAAACAAAGCAUUGCGAGGGCCUCAAAGGGUGGUGCCACAAUGUGAUUUCUGCCCAGUGC
rnacentral:rRNA from 11 species